CGUGCCAGGGCCGAAAGACACGGGCACUAAAAAAGCCCGGGCAAGCCCGGGCCAAACAUGGUAUAUAUAAAAAAAAUUCGAUUGAAAUGUGGAAAAUUAGCACUACGGCCGAAAAACUUGCCCGAACCGUGGCCCUGCCAGAGCCUAACUAAGAACCGCCCCUGCUUGAGGCUAUUGCAGGAAAAGUGUUGUUGUCGUCGUUGGAUGUGAGCUUUGUGUAUGGAGAUGGUUUCGCUAUGGUGUUAUCACAUGUGAAACUAAUUAGGUGUUCCUCACUUUUUUGAACUUUCAUGAUUUUUUCAUGGAACCCAGGUAAAACUUCUCAACAAUGGCCUUUGCUUUGCUAAUUUAUUCCUAACUGCAAUUUUGUUAUUAAAAAAUACAGUUACUUUACUAUUCAAAUGUUGAGGUAGUUCUUGCUCGUGUUUGGACAUUAUUAAAGUUUUAUGAUUGGCUCUUAUUACUAGCAAGAAACUCCGUUGCUUCAACACAGUGGCAAUUCAUGCAUCUUUGAUUCAUUUCUACAGGAAUACGCUAUCAAAGGAUUUCCAAAUUGGAGAAUAUAUUGUUAUUGACCAAAGAGCUAAGGAAGUAAAACCUAUAGCAGAGUUUGCACUCCAUGUCAUCAUUUUAUUCGUAGUAAUUUGUUGGUUGAUACAUAUAACUUUCAUUGUUCAAUGUAAUAUGUAAUUACUCUUUCGAUGUUUAUUAAAUAUCACAUUUAACUUUUUCGUUGUUUAA